CACACACGUAAACAAGAUGGUUGCCGCGCUCCGGCACGGAAGAAGAUGCUAGCUUCCUGUAUUGCUCAACAAAAAUAAGCAGGCUGGAGGGACCCCUAUACAAUAACUAGCACUCCAUCAAACUGCAGUUAUAAAUCACAGCACCACGCUCAAGCAAAGACAAGAAUGAAAGAACCCCCAGCGGGCAAGCUAAUGCAACUAGCAGGAAACGAGAAGAACAGAUGAAAUGAGCCAGACCCUUUUUACGUUGGAGCUGGUGGAGAGUGCAGGAAAGCAUCAAAGAUAACACCGUGCUGACAGCCACUCAGGG